rnacentral:snRNA from 1 species
GUCCAUUCUUGAACAUAUACUGAAAUUGGUACAAGAAGAUCAACAUGGUCCUUGCGCACAGAUGACACGUAAAUUCGUGGGGCGUUCUAAAAUGCC